rnacentral:lncRNA from 1 species
UUCCAUAUUUUGAAUUAAAAUCAUUUUUUGGAUUAAUUUUGAUAUUUUUUGUGAAUUAAAUGAUUUUUGACUUGUUUUUAAAUAUUUUAAAAUACUUAUGCCUUUCCAAAAAUUAUGAAAUUUUUUGUCUAAGGUCCUUUGACCUUGUUUGACCAAGGAUAAAUCCCUUGGCCAUUUAUUUGGUGUUUUGAAGGGAUUUGAGGCUUUGUCCAUUUUAAAAUGCAUUUUAAUUCAUUUUUAAAUUAAUUUUUAAUUGAAUAAUUGCUUGAAACUUAUGUUGAGC